UACGGGGGGGGCAAGCGUUGUUCGGAAUUACUGGGCGUAAAGGGCUCGUAGGCGGCCAACUAAGUCAGACGUGAAAUCCCUCGGCUUAACCGGGGAACUGCGUCUGAUACUGGAUGGCUUGAGGUUGGGAGAGGGAUGCGGAAUUCCAGGUGUAGCGGUGAAAUGCGUAGAUAUCUGGAGGAACACCGGUGGCGAAGGCGGGCAUCCUGG
rnacentral:rRNA from 1 species